CUAUUUUGAACAUAUACACAAAAAUAUAUAAAAAUAUAAGAUUUUGUUCUAAGAUAUUCUGUAUCUUUCUAGAUAUUCUUUAUGUCUGUCUUGACCUUAUACCAAUAAGAUAUGUAGUUAGACUAGAUUUGUGUAUUCAUAUCCUUACCAUAUUGGUAUUUUGUAAUUCCUUAUAUAAAGGGCUUAUAUCAAUGAAUAAGAUGAUGAUUCUCUUGCUAUCUCUUUGUCUCUACACUUUAUUCUUCAUCAUGUUAUCAUGCACUUUGUUCUAAGUUUAUAACUAAUAGCCCAUCAUUUUUUUCCCAAACUCUAAAAACCAAAACCGGAGGUUCUGGAUUGUGAUUAUCGUUGUGGGACGCCUCAAUGUCAAAUCCAAUCUAUAUAGAGAUCUCUACAAGUAUUACACUAGUGUACAUGAGGACGUGGGAUAAUGAGUCUACUAUCGAACCACCAUUCGUUGAUGGAUAUCAACUUAGUUGAUUGACCUAAUGGAAAGAUGCGAUCCAGCAUUAACAAAGAGAUAGGUCCUUGGGUAGGUGAUGCCGACACCGCAAGCUAAACCCUAUCAACUAUGUCUUUGUUAGAUAGCGUAGUGAGAACAAGAGUUUAGACUCACCUUAUGGCGCAAGGUCUUUCACUAACACGCACUGAGAUCGACUACUAUGAGAUAUUCUCUCGUAAUUAAUGGAUGUCAUUGAACUCCAUUACUUUGUCAAUUUGGUAGUUUCCAAAUAACUGAACAUGCAGCUUAUAAAUGUGGUCAUAAAAACAUCUCUACGGGAUCAGAGAUAUGCAUGAAUGUCUUGAAUAGACUUCAUUCAUCCGAAUCAAGUGGCUCCAGACCACAGGAGCACGCGUUUGGUAAAGGUAUUAAAACGCACAUGGACUCUACUUGAUUUGAAAGGGAUAUGGUGAAUUAUGCUUUUGCGUGUUCAUUCCGGAUUUACAUGGAUUCUUGAUGCCAAUAUGUAUCAACAUCCGAAGAAAAAGAUCUUGGGAAGACACGGUCUCGAUAAGGCACUCGAUGACUGUAUUGAUGAUGAUUUUCCAUCAAUCGACUUAGGCGCUCUAUAACUAGUGAGGCCUACAUAUACUCCCAUGAUUAGUCAAAGUCUAAAGAGAGAUCCGUUGUUUUGUCUAAAGCAAAAUGACAAAUAUGUGUUAAGAGAUGGAGUUAUCAUCUAAGUACAAUAAGACGCAUUAAUGUACUCAACACAAUACGAAAGACUUGACAUCUCAUUCGCUAUGAAAAGUUGUAAAUCUAAGUGUAGCUAUGCGCCCACGCAAUGCCAAUGUAAUGGCAGUAACUCCUUUUUCAAUACUUAAUGGUAUGAAAUGUCGAGGCUUAUUCUAUCCCUACAUAAGAAAGACACAUCAAAAGUGAAAUUAGAAUCUGCCAAGUUUUGUAGGUCAACUUCCACAGGACCUACAGGAAACCUCACUCACUGGAAAAUGGUGAAACUGGUACCAUUGGAAAUAUCUAUGUGUCUACUUUCCAGAGACACCAACCAUUUGAUCAUACCUAUCAUAUUGAGUGAGUUAUGGCCGUUUUCGUAAAGUAGGACGAAUCUGUCCGAAAAUCUGAUUUUGGCAAAACAGUCAACUUCAACGGGACUUUGUGAAUAGCUCCUGACGAACCAGAACGUGUGUAAUAUACGGUUAGAAAGCUAAAUGAGUCUAGUUUCCAAAACCGUUUACGGUUCAUUCAUAUGUAUUUCUUAGAGGAAGUUAUGACUGUUCUAGUAACUGAAGGUCAUGCUGCGCGAAAAUCUGAUUUCCUGCACGAACUUAUGUUUUGAGUUCACAAGCGGCCUUCUCCUCAAGAUCUAAGUGUAAAAGAUCAUUUGAGGACAAUACGGCAUGAUUUAGUUAAUCAUUGCCCAAUGCCACAUUUGAAGACAUGUUAAAGAGCAUUGACAUGCUAAGUUGUUGAAACUUCUGUGAUUAGUAAAAAUCAGGAAGAGCCUUAUGAUUGAUGUAAAGAUCAGGGGGAGGUGUAAACUUCAGAGGGAGUCUAACACAUACAUACAUGUUACUAUCAAAUGUGAAGGGUGCGUUGUACUCUUUUUCUCCUACGAUCAAGGUUCAGUUUUUCUCCCACGAUCAAGGUUCAGUUUUUCUCCCACAGGGUUUUUGUGACUUGACGAGGUUUUUGACGAGGCAACAGAUCAGCACCAUCGGCAUAUCAGCGCGCGGCACAAAGGGGAGUGUUCUAGGAUAUUCCAUAUCUUUCUAGAUAUUCUUUAUGUGUGUCUUGGCCUUAUGCCAAUAGGAUAUGUAGUUAGACUAGAUCUAUGUAUUCAUAUCCUUACCAUAUUACCAUAUUGGUAUUGUGUAAUUCCUUAUAUAAAGGGCUCAUAUCAAUGAAUAAGAUGAUGAUUCUCUUGCUAUCUCUUUGUCUAUACACUUUAUACUUCAUCAAAAAUAAAGUUUUUAUGACCGGAUUCUCAAGACCAAUGACGUUGACCAGACUCCGGUAACCUUUGACCGAGCUCCGGGGAUCAUUGACUGGACUCCGGGGGACAAUGACGGGACUCCGGCGAUCGUUGACCGAGCUUCUGAGACCAUUGACGGGACUUCGGGGGCCGUUGUGCUUUAGUUACUUAUAACAGGUCCUUAUUGAGGGCAAUAUGCCCACCUAUUGGGGUCAGUAGGACCUCCUAUUAGGGGCAGUAGGGGCAGUAUGACCUCCUAUUGGAAUCAGUAAGACCUCCUACUAGGGGCAGUAGAACCCUUGAACUUAAGAUAUAAGGUAUACAUGUAUCAAGAAAUGUAUUGAAAUGAAAGAAGUGGAGUCUCUAUAAUAUUCUAUAAGAUGUAAGACUGAGAAAAUAACUUAUAUCCAAAUCUACACCAAAAGAAUGAAAGCAAGUGACUCUUGAUGCCCUAAUUGAAGGACAAUAUGACAUACACAAAUAGCAUAAUAUUCCUUUACUAGGACAUUCUACUGAGGGCAAUAGGACCACCUAUUGGGGGCAGUAAGACCUCCUACUGGGGGCAGUAGGAGGUUCGUAGGGGGGGUCUAUUGGGGGCAGUAAGGGGUUCAUCGAGGGGUCUAUUGAGGGCAGUAGGGGGUUCAUCGGGAGGUCUAUUGGGGGCAAUAGGGGUCUAUUAAGAGCAAUAAGAGAUUCGUUACAGGUCUAUUAGGAGCAGUAUGGGGUUUGUCGGGGGUCUAUUGGGGGCAGUAGGAGGUCUAUUGGAGACAGUAGAGGGUCUAUCAAGGGCAGUAAACAUUUAUUCCCCUCAAUAGAUCUCAUCCCAACAUGAAAAUUAUAUUAUAAUAGAGCCAAGUCAUACAAAAAUACAAAAGACCUACCUUAAUCACUGUACAAAAUU
rnacentral:lncRNA from 1 species